rnacentral:pre_miRNA from 1 species
AAUAAGUGCAGUUUUGCACUAUUCACGUUUAACAUUUGACCGUCCGUCUUAUUUGAAAAAUUUAUGAAAAAAUUAAAAACAUUUAGUCACACAUAAAGUACUAUUCAUGUUUUAUCAUCUAAUAGCAACAAUAAAAAUAAAAGAUUUUCAAAUAAGACGGACGGUCAAACGUUGAACGUGAAUAGUGCAAAACUGUACUUAUU